AGCGCAGGCGGGAAGACAAGUUGGAAGUGAAAUCUAUGGGCUCAACCCAUAAACUGCUUUCAAAACUGUUUUUCUUGAGUAGUGCAGAGGUAGGCGGAAUUCCCGGUGUAGCAGUGGAAUGCGUAGAUAUCGGGAGGAACACCAGUGGCGAAGGCGGCCUACUGGGCACCAACUGACGCUGAGGCUCGAAAGUGUGGGUAGCAAACA
rnacentral:rRNA from 1 species